UCGGCUUAGAGUUUGAUCAUGGCUCAGAUUGAACGCUGGCGGCAGGCUUAACACAUGCAAGUCGAACGGUAGAAGAGCUUGCUCUUGACGAGUGGCGGACGGGUGAGUAAUGUAUGGGGAUCUGCCAAAUGGAAGGGGACAACAGUUGGAAACGACUGCUAAUACCGUAUAAAGUCGCGAGACCAAAGUGUUUCGACAUGCCAUUUGAUGAACCCAUAUGGGAUUAGCUAGUAGGUAGGGUAAAGGCCUACCUAGGCGACGAUCUCUAGCUGGUCUGAGAGGAUGACCAGCCACACUGGAACUGAGACACGGUCCAGACUCCUACGGGAGGCAGCAGUGGGGAAUAUUGCACAAUGGGGGGAACCCUGAUGCAGCCAUGCCGCGUGUAUGAAGAAGGCCUUAGGGUUGUAAAGUACUUUCGGUAGUGAGGAAGGUAACUAUUAACAUAGUUAAUUGACGUUAAUUACAGAAGAAGCACCGGCUAACUCCGUGCCAGCAGCCGCGGUAAUACGGAGGGUGCGAGCGUUAAUCGGAAUGACUGGGCGUAAAGGGCAUGUAGGCGGAUAAUUAAGUUAGGUGUGAAAGCCCCGGGCUCAACCUGGGAAUUGCACUUAAAACUGGUAUCU
rnacentral:rRNA from 1 species